GUGGAGCCGUAGCGAAAGCGAGUCUGAAUAGGGCGUUUAGUAUUUGGUCGUAGACCCGAAACCAGGUGAUCUACCCUUGGUCAGGUUGAAGUUCAGGUAACACUGAAUGGAGGACCGAACCGACUUACGUUGAAAAGUGAGCGGAUGAACUGAGGGUAGCGGAGAAAUUCCAAUCGAACCUGGAGAUAGCUGGUUCUCUCCGAAAUAGCUUUAGGGCUAGCCUCAAGUGAUGAUUAUUGGAGGUAGAGCACUGUUUGGACGAGGGGCCCCUCUCGGGUUACCGAAUUCAGACAAACUCCGAAUGCCAAUUAAUUUAACUUGGGAGUCAGAACAUGGGUGAUAAGGUCCGUGUUCGAAAGGGAAACAGCCCAGACCACCAGCUAAGGUCCCAAAAUAUAUGUUAAGUGGAAAAGGAUGUGGCGUUGCCCAGACAACUAGGAUGUUGGCUUAGAAGCAGCCAUCAUUUAAAGAGUGCGUAAUAGCUCACUAGUCGAGUGACACUGCGCCGAAAAUGUACCGGGGCUAAACAUAUUACCGAAGCUGUGGAUUGUCCUUUGGACAAUGGUAGGAGAGCGUUCUAAGGGCGUUGAAGCAUGAUCGUAAGGACAUGUGGAGCGCUUAGAAGUGAGAAUGCCGGUGUGAGUAGCGAAAGACGGGUGAGAAUCCCGUCCACCGAUUGACUAAGGUUUCCAGAGGAAGGCUCGUCCGCUCUGGGUUAGUCGGGUCCUAAGCUGAGGCCGACAGGCGUAGGCGAUGGAUAACAGGUUGAUAUUCCUGUACCACCUAUAAUCGUUUUAAUCGAUGGGGGGACGCAGUAGGAUAGGCGAAGCGUGCGAUUGGAUUGCACGUCUAAGCAGUAAGGCUGAGUAUUAGGCAAAUCCGGUACUCGUUAAGGCUGAGCUGUGAUGGGGAGAAGACAUUGUGUCUUCGAGUCGUUGAUUUCACACUGCCGAGAAAAGCCUCUAGAUAGAAAAUAGGUGCCCGUACCGCAAACCGACACAGGUAGUCAAGAUGAGAAUUCUAAGGUGAGCGAGCGAACUCUCGUUAAGGAACUCGGCAAAAUGACCCCGUAACUUCGGGAGAAGGGGUGCUCUUUAGGGUUAACGCCCAGAAGAGCCGCAGUGAAUAGGCCCAAGCGACUGUUUAUCAAAAACACAGGUCUCUGCUAAACCGUAAGGUGAUGUAUAGGGGCUGACGCCUGCCCGGUGCUGGAAGGUUAAGAGGAGUGGUUAGCUUCUGCGAAGCUACGAAUCGAAGCCCCAGUAAACGGCGGCCGUAACUAUAACGGUCCUAAGGUAGCGAAAUUCCUUGUCGGGUAAGUUCCGACCCGCACGAAAGGCGUAACGAUUUGGGCACUGUCUCAACGAGAGACUCGGUGAAAUCAUAGUACCUGUGAAGAUGCAGGUUACCCGCGACAGGACGGAAAGACCCCGUGGAGCUUUACUGUAGCCUGAUAUUGAAAUUCGGCACAGCUUGUACAGGAUAGGUAGGAGCCUUUGAAACGUGAGCGCUAGCUUACGUGGAGGCGCUGGUGGGAUACUACCCUAGCUGUGUUGGCUUUCUAACCCGCACCACUUAUCG
rnacentral:rRNA from 1 species